GCCGAGACGGGGGAAUAGAAAAGCCACCUUGAAGGAAGGAACUGGGGCACGCACGCCGGACUCCGUAUUUUGCAGAUAUAUCUGUGUGGGCAAAACAGAGGAUAGCUUUUUUAUUGUUCCAGUCUUAAGUCCCGUCUUGGUCAUGUGACAGAGGAAAAAGAUAGUUGCUUGUUCAAAAGGACCAUGCAACAUUCAAGUCUUCAACUCUACAUACAUUGAUUUCC